GGCAUUGAUAUCUAUAAUGCAGUCGACGAGCUUCCGUUGAAUGACGUGCUUGCACUGAUUUCAACAAUGAAGCGAGUGGCGAACUGGUGAGUAACACGUGGGGAAUCUGCCCAGAAGCAGGGGAUAACACUUGGAAACAGGUGCUAAUACCGUAUAACAACAAAAUCCGCAUGGAUUUUGUUUGAAAGGUGGCUUCGGCUAUCACUUCUGGAUGAUCCCGCGGCGUAUUAGUUAGUUGGUGAGGUAAAGGCCCACCAAGACGAUGAUACGUAGCCGACCUGAGAGGGUAAUCGGCCACAUUGGGACUGAGACACGGCCCAAACUCCUACGGGAGGCAGCAGUAGGGAAUCUUCCACAAUGGACGAAAGUCUGAUGGAGCAAUGCCGCGUGAGUGAAGAAGGGUUUCGGCUCGUAAAACUCUGUUGUUAAAGAAGAACACCUUUGAGAGUAACUGUUCAAGGGUUGACGGUAUUUAACCAGAAAGCCACGGCUAACUACGUGCCAGCAGCCGCGGUAAUACGUAGGUGGCAAGCGUUGUCCGGAUUUAUUGGGCGUAAAGCGAGCGCAGGCGGUUUUUUAAGUCUGAUGUGAAAGCCUUCGGCUUAACCGGAGAAGUGCAUCGGAAACUGGGAGACUUGAGUGCAGAAGAGGACAGUGGAACUCCAUGUGUAGCGGUGGAAUGCGUAGAUAUAUGGAAGAACACCAGUGGCGAAGGCGGCUGUCUAGUCUGUAACUGACGCUGAGGCUCGAAAGCAUGGGUAGCGAACAGGAUUAGAUACCCUGGUAGUCCAUGCCGUAAACGAUGAGUGCUAAGUGUUGGAGGGUUUCCGCCCUUCAGUGCUGCAGCUAACGCAUUAAGCACUCCGCCUGGGGAGUACGACCGCAAGGUUGAAACUCAAAGGAAUUGACGGGGGGCCCGCACAAGCGGUGGAGCAUGUGGUUUAAUUCGAAGCUACGCGAAGAACCUUACCAGGUCUUGACAUCUUCUGCCAAUCUUAGAGAUAAGACGUUUCCCUUCGGGGACAGAAUGACAGGGUGGUGCAUGAUUGUCGUCAGCUCGUGUCGUGAGGAUGUUGGGUUAAGUCCCCGCAACGAGCGCACCCCUUUAUUAUCAGUUGCCCAGCAUUUCAGGUUGGUCACUCUGAUGAGACUUGGCGGCUGACCAACUGCAGAGGGCUGGGCAUGAACCGGUUCCAAAAUUCCAAA
rnacentral:rRNA from 1 species